rnacentral:lncRNA from 1 species
UUCCCCAAACCCCCUUUUAUGGAGCAUCUUGUCUAGGUACCGUCAAUUAAUCAAACCAAAAACCUUUCAUAAUUAACUUUGAACACAAAGGUCAAGCAUUAUUUCUCUUUAUGUUGUUCACAAUUUCACCAGCAAUAAGAAUGCAAUCAAAAAAUUGUCUCCCAUCAAUGAAAGCAAAUUGGGUUUCAGAGUUGAUCUCAUUUAUGACCUUAAAUAGGCAUUUGGUGGGAGACUUCAUAAUGUUCUUUUUUGGGAAUCAGAAUAAAAAAAGAAACAUUCAAGUGCUUCACCAAAUUUACUAGUGAAGUGGAUUCGUUCGUGACUUCCACUACAUCCUCUUUGGUGGAGGCCUAACAAGUCUUCACAAAGUUGAUGUUGAAACCAUCCAGUCCAAGC